UGAGCAAUCUGCCCUUCUCUUUGGAAUAAGCGUGGGAAACCGCGUCUAAUGCCGAAUACGACCUCCUUUCGCAUGAUCGGAGGUGGAAAGCUCCGGCGGAGAAGGAUGAGCUCGCGGCCUAUCAGCUAGUUGGUGUGGGUAAUGGCCCACCAAGGCGACGACGGGUAGCCGGCCUGAGGAGGGUGACCCGGCCACACGUGGGACUGAGACACCGGCCCAGACCUCCGUACGGGAGC
rnacentral:rRNA from 1 species